AGGUGUUGAUAAUCAUGGUGGGGCUUAUGUUGCUGGUGACAAUAAUUGAUGACGGAAGAGCUUGAUCAUAAUAGGCGUUAGGAAGUUGAUUUGUCGCCGGGAAGAAGGGGUGCUUUGUAUGUCUAUAUAUAUAUACAUAGUAUGUAAUAUAAAUGAUUAAAUAUAUUAGUGCGUGUGGAU
rnacentral:rRNA from 1 species